rnacentral:lncRNA from 1 species
GGGGAAAAAAGCCACUUCAGACUGUGGUACUGAGUGAUCUGUCUGUAGAGAACUUUAAUAAUAAAAAUAAAAAUAACUCAUGACAUAACUAUCUAUAUACAACUUCCAAGAGUUUUUGUUUCAUUUCUUUUCAGUGAAAAAUAGUGAGAUGCUUUGUUGUGCAUUAAAUCAACCUAUCUAUAUCAAAUUGUGAUCUGCAAAAGAAGGAAAUUAGCUUCAUUGAUGUGUAGUCUUAAACCCAUUCCUCUGCCCAGCACAUGCAGGGAAGUUUGGCUUUGGCUGGGAAAGAGCACUCUGAGGGCUUCAUCCCAUUGAACCAGGACCUGUGGGACCCCAGUCUCAUCACUGCAACCUAUCCAGGUGG